UGUACCCAAGCCGGUGAGGUAACCCUUCGGGGAGCCAGCCGUCUAAGGUGGGACAGAUGAUUAGGGUGAAGUCGUAACAAGGUAGCCGUAGGAGAACCUGCGGCUGGAUCACCUCCUUUCUAAGGAAUAAUACGGAAAACCUUGUACAUUUGCGAAAUCAAAACUUUGUUUAGUUUUGAGAGGUCUACUCUCAAACUUUGUUCUUUGAAAACUGGAUAAUAAGUAAUAUAUUAGUUUUAAAAGCCGAGAAAAACAUUGCGUUUUAAAGAGUUUUUUAAUAAUAGAAAUAUGAAUUAGUUCAUAUCGCUAAACUCAAAUAAUAACCCUUUACCGUAGGUAAAGAUAGGUUAAGUUAUAAAGGGGUGUGGCGAAUGCCUUGGCACUAUGANCCGAUGAAAGAAAUACUAACACCGAUAUGCUUCGGG
rnacentral:misc_RNA from 1 species